rnacentral:rRNA from 1 species
UACGUAGGGGGCAAGCGUUGUCCGGAUUUAUUGGGCGUAAAGAGCGUGUAGGCGGCCAUUCAGGUCAGCUGUGAAAAACUCGAGGCUCAACCUCGAGACGUCGGUUGAAACCGUUUGGCUAGAGUCCGGAAGAGGAGAGUGGAAUUCCCGGUGUAGCGGUGAAAUGCGCAGAUAUCGGGAAGAACACCCGUGGCGAAGGCGGCUCUCUGGGACGGUACUGACGCUGAGACGCGAAAGCGUGGGGAGCGAACAGG